rnacentral:rRNA from 1 species
GUGUAGUGGCGGACGGGUUAGUAACGCGUGGGAACGUGCCCUUCUCUACGGAAUAGCCUCGGGAAACUGGGUUUAAUACCGUAUACGCCCUUCGGGGGAAAGAUUUAUCGGAGAAGGAUCGGCCCGCGUAAGAUUAGAUAGUUGGUGGGGUAAUGGCCUACCAAGUCUACGAUCUUUAGCUGGUUUGAGAGGAUGAUCAGCAACACUGGGACUGAGACACGGCCCAGACUCCUACGGGAGGCAGCAGUGGGGAAUAUUGCGCAAUGGGCGAAAGCCUGACGCAGCGACGCCGCGUGGGGGAUGAAGGCCUUCGGGU